UCUAUGGAGAGUUUGAUCCUGGCUCAGGACGAACGCUGGCGGCGUGCCUAAUACAUGCAAGUCGAGCGGACGAUUC
rnacentral:rRNA from 2 species